rnacentral:misc_RNA from 1 species
UAUCAAAGAUUACUCAAAAAGUAGUUAUCAGAUCUCGAUAAAAUUUAUAUGUGACCACAUGAUAAGCAUCAGCUUUCGAUUAAAUUAAAAAUUAUCAAAAUCGGUACACCCAGUAAAAAGUUAUUACGGAUUUUCGAGAGUUUCCCUCGAUUUCUCUGGGAUCACAUCAUCAGAUCCUGGUUUCCUUGUCACGGCACUAAACUAGGGAUAUCCCCUUUCUAACAAAAAAAGAAUUAUCAAAAUCGGUAUAUCCAGUAGAAAGUUAUGCGGUAUAAUACAACGUAGAUCGACGAAAAAAAGUGUCAAGUAAA